rnacentral:rRNA from 1 species
CCUACGGGGGGCAGCAGUGAGGAAUAUUGGUCAAUGGACGAGAGUCUGACCCAGCCAAGUAGCGUGCAGGAUGACUGCCCUAUGGGUUGUAAACGUCUUUUAUAUGGGAAUAAAAUGUUCCACGUGUGGGAUUUUGUAUGUCCCAUAUGAAUAAGGAUCGGCUAACUCCGUGCCAGCAGCCGCGGUAAUACGGAGGAUCCGAGCGUUAUCCGGGUUUAUUGGGUGUAAAGGUAGCGUAGGUGGAUGGUUAAGUUAGUUGUGAAAGUUUGCGGCUCAACCGUAAAAUUGCAGUUGAAACUGGCAGUCUUGAGUACAGUAGAGGUGGGCGGAAUUCGUGGUGUAGCGGUGAAAUGCUUAGAUAUCACGAAGAACUCCGAUUGCGAAGGCAGCUUACUGGACUGCAACUGACACUGAGGCUCGAAAGUGUGGGUAUCAAACAGGAUUAGAUACCCUGGUAGUC